GACGAACGCUGGCGGCGUGCUUAACACAUGCAAGUCGAACGGAAAGGCCCUGCUUUUGUGGGGUGCUCGAGUGGCGAACGGGUGAGUAACACGUGAGUAACCUGCCCUUGACUUUGGGAUAACUGCAGGAAACUGGGGCUAAUACCGGAUAGGAGCUCCUGCUGCAGGGUGGUGGUUGGAAAGUUUCGGCGGUGGGGGAUGGACUCGCGGCUUAUCAGCUUGUUGGUGGGGUAGUGGCUUACCAAGGCUUUGACGGGUGGCCGGCAUGAGAGGGUGACCGGCCACAUUGGGACUGAGAUACGGCCCAGACUGCAACGUGAGGCAGCAGUGGGGAAUAUUGCCCAAUGGGCGGAAGCCUGAUGAAGAAACGCCGCGUGCGGGAUGACGGCCUUCGGGUUGUAAACCGCUUUCGCCUGUGACGAAGCGUGAGUGACGGUAAUGGGUAAAGAAGCACCGGCUAACUACGUG
rnacentral:rRNA from 1 species